rnacentral:rRNA from 1 species
UACGUAGGUGGCAAGCGUUGUCCGGAUUUACUGGGCGUAAAGAGCGCGCAGGCGGUCGGAUAAGUCGAAUGUGAAAGCCCCCGGCUCAACUGAGGAGGGUCAUUCGAUACUGUUCGACUCGAAGGCAGGAGAGGGAAGUGGAAUUCCCGGUGUAGUGGUGAAAUGCGUAGAUAUCGGGAGGAACACCAGUGGCGAAGGCGACUUCCUGGCCUGUUCUUGACGCUGAGGCGCGAAAGCUAGGGGAGCAAACGGG